UCGACAGCACGACACUGCCUUCA
rnacentral:miRNA from 4 species